UUGUAGUAUAGUUUAACAAAAUAUUGGUUUAGUAGUAUAAUUGUAGUAUAGGGAUAAGAAGCAAUGAUGCAAAGCUAUAGUGGAAGUACCGUGAGGGAAUGUUGAAAUAAUGUGAAAAGGGAUAAUGAGGGAAGAAAGGAUGGAUGUCUGUACCUUUUGUAUGAUGGUUUAGUAAGGAAAGUGAAAGGUGUUUUUAUUUCCCGAAUUUAGGUGAGCUAGUAUACUUUGUCUUGUUGGGAUGUAGCUUUUACUGUUGCAGUAGUAAGGUUUGAGGGUAUAUUAGGUGUGAAAUGCUAAUCGUGCCUAAGGAUAGCUGGUUUCUCAAGAAAUUGGUGUAAGCUGGAGAUUCAUUUUGUAUUUUGUAGUGUUAUUUUAAGGAGUAAGAGCGAGGUACAGAAAUAGUAGUGUGUUAUGUAGACAUGGAGGGAUAAGCUUUUGUGUCAAUAAGGUAAGAACCUUUGCUGUAAAUGAAGGAUAUUUAUUGUGUUUAAUAUUUUAUUAUUGGAAUAGGAGUAGGAUUAAUAGCAUCUAUCUUUUGAGAGGGCGUUAGAGCCUUUCUUUUUGGUAAUUUUGUAGAAGAUUUUAGGAGGAGAAGGUCCGGGAUUGCAGGAGGGUAUUGGGAAUUUUCAUGAUUUUGUAAGUUAUAAUGCUAGAAUUAGUAAAGGGUUUGUAAAUACUUUUUGAGGAUUAAGCAAUCCUAAUUUUGGAUGGAAGAAAGUUUUUGAAUACAGGAAGUGGCUUUUGUGGGUUGUCUUUCAACUCAGAGGGUAAGGAUGUUGUUAAACUAAGGAAAAGGAAUUCGGCAAAUUUAAACUUCGCCUGUUUACCAAAAACAUGGCUCUUCGCUAAAGGUUCUGAUGUAUGAGGAGUCUUGCCUGCCCAGUGACUUUUAUGGUUAAACGGCCGCGGUAUUUUGACCGUGCGAAGGUAGCGUAAUUAUUUGCCUUUUAAAUGGGGGCUGGUAUGAAUGGUGAGACGGGGGUUUGGCUGUCUCUUUCUUAGGGAGGUUGAAUUUGAUUUUUUUGUGAGGAAGCAGGAAUGGAAUCGUAGGACGAGAAGACCCUGUCGAGCUUAAGCGGGAAAGGUAAGUAUAGAGGGAGUGUUCUUUUGCUAAUUUUAUUCUAAUGGAGAGUAGUGGUUUUACAUAGGGAUAUGAUUGUGCUGUGCUUUUCUGGUUUUGAUUGGGGCAAUCGCGGAGAAAAUGGAACCUCCGUUAGUGAGAGUAUAGUAAAGUGACUUCUUUAUAAUAUAAGCAUGGUAAGGUAUGAUCCACAGUGUGUGUGAAUAAAGGAAUGAGUUACCGCAGGGAUAACAGCGUAAUUCUUUUGGAGAGUUCAUAUUGAUAAAAGGGUUUGCGACCUCGAUGUUGGAUCGGGAUUUCCUGGGGAUGCAGUAGUUCCUGAGGGUUGGUCUGUUCGACCAUUAAAAUUCUACGUGAUCUGAGUUCAGACCGGCGGGAGCCAGGUCAGUUUCUAUCCACGAUUGUUAGUAAUUUUUUCUAGUACGAAAGGACCGAAAGGAUAAUACCUAUGUUUAGAGAUAAGUAUUGGGUUAAGUUUUCUGUUGGAAUAUAAAGAUAGUGGAUUAGUAUAUUCAAUUUUACUUUUUGUU
rnacentral:rRNA from 1 species